GUAUGCAAAGCUAAUUUUUAAAAUUCUAUUAGACUGUUGGGAUUUAAUUAUUUUUUUUAAAACCAGGGACUAUUCCGUGAUAUGUACCAGUUGCUAGACAAAUGUGUGUUACACGGACAAUAAUACCGUCAUUUGAAGAACUGCUUUAUUUUUGUUGUUGUUUAGUCGUGUCCGACUCUUCGUGACCCCAUGGAUCAGAGCACGCCAGGCAUUGCUGUCUUCCACUGCCUCCCGCAGUUUGGUCAAACUCAUGCUGGUAGCUUCGAGAACACUGUCCAACCAUCUCGUCCUCUGUUGUCCCCUUCUCCUUGUGCCCUCAAUCUUUCCCAACAUCAGGGUCUUUUCCAGGGAGUCUUCUCUUCUCAUGAGAAUUCAGUAUUGGAGAAAGUAUUGGAGACUCAGCUUCAGGAUCUGUCCUUCCAGUGAGCACUCAGGGCUGAAUUCCUUAAGAAUGGAUAGGUUUGAUCUUCUUGCAGUUCAUGGGACUCUCAAGAGUCUCCUCCAGCGCCAUAAUUCAAAAGCAUCAAUUCUUCGGCGAUCAGCCUUCUUUAUGGUCCAGCUCUCACUUCCAUACAUCACUACUGGGAAAACCAUAGCUUUAACUAUAUGGACCUUGGUCGGUAAGGUGACGUCUCUGCUUUAUUUUAAGAUUGUAAUAAAAUUUCAUAGGCAUAGAAUUGUAGUGCUGGAAUGUACCUCAAGGCUCAUCUAGUCCAACCCCCUGCAAUUCAAGGAUGCUUUAUUUAUGUAGACCAUUAAAUCUUCUAGAAUUUGCUUCUAAAUUCAUUGAAGUUAAAACAAAAUUCCUCAUCCAUGUCAAGCCAGUUACAUUUUUAGACCAAUAAAUGUUUACCCUAUUUAGCAUUCUUGCUUGUUAACUUUUGACAUUUGUCCUUUGUUCACAGUAAACAAGCUUGAUACCUUAACUCCCUUU